GGGAAAGUCAGAGUGGACUCCACAUUGAAAAGUGGGAAUUCAGUGACACCAGCUAGUGUGUAUGCUGCACAUAUCCAUAAAACUAAAUAGAAAUAACCCCAAAAAUAAUAAACAUUUAUUAACUACAUGUAAAUACCGAUUAUAUCGAUCAUUGAUCAAAACAGAUUUUCCGAUUAUAACCGAUUAUCGAUUAUGAAAUUUUCCCGAUUUUUCAACACUAGUUGAAAGCCUGUCUUAGAGACAUUUUGAAAUAAUUGCUUAAAUUCCCAACAAUGUUUACCUGUACUACAUCCCAUGCCGAAAUGACUUGCACGGUCUGUACGUUUCUAUGGGCGUGGUUUGAACAAUGUGCACGUGUCUAUGGGCGUGGCUUGAUCAUGCACAGAACGAUUCUUGCACGAAACAAUUUGCCAGGACGCUGAACAGUCUGCACGAAAUGCUGAACGGUCUGCAUGGAAUGGUGAACGGUCUGCAUGGAAUGGUGAACUGUCUGCACGGAACGGUGAACGGUUUGCACUGACCGAAACGCUUUGGAGGUGUAGUAGCACGCUUCAGGGUCUGUACAAUGGAAAUUUUAUUCUAAAUCACGUAGAAUAGCAUAGAUUUACCCAAAAACACCCAAGAAUACCCAAAAACACCCCAAAACACCAAAAAAUAUCAUAGAACAGCACAGUAAACAACCAAUAUUGUUCAUAUAUUAAAGAAAAAUUAAAAUUUUGUGUAUGAUUCACUUUAAAGGUGAAAGACUUGCAUACUGCGACAUCUGCAAAGGUCUCAAUUGUUAGCAAAGCACUGUCUGACUGAGGCAAAGUAUACUUAUGUAAGCCCUGUAUAUAUCGCAGGCCAACCUGCAGCGAGUCUUCAAAAAUACGUUUUGCCUCAUUUUUUCCUGUGUGACGAAAUAGAAACAUAUAAAAUUUUUAAUUCAUUGCAAUUUUACUUUUAACGAAUCAUAACGAGAAAUUGGGAGUGGGAGUUUAAUAUACCAAUUGCGUUCACAGUGAUUUUUAUGCCCCGAGAUCGAAGAUCAUAUUGUUUUUGUCCUGUCUGUCAUUCUGUCUGAAACUUUAACCUUGCUAAUAACUUUUGAACAGUAAGUGAUAGAGCUUUGAUAUUUCACAUGAGUGUUCCAUGUGACAAGACCUUUCCGUGGGUACCAAUAUUUUUGACCCUGUGACCUUGACCUUGGAGUAUGACCUACUUUUUGAAAACUUUAACCUUGCUAAUAACUUUUGAACAAUAAGUGAUAGAGCUUUGAUAUUUCACAUGAAUGUUCCAUGUGACAAGACCUUUCCGUGGGUACCAAUAUUUUUGACCCUGUGACCUUGACCUUGGAGUAUGACCUACUUUUUGAAAACUUUAACCUUGCUAAUAACUUUUGAACAGUAAGUGAUAGAGAUUUGAUAUUUCACAUGAAUGUUCCAUGUGACAAGACCUUUCCGUGAGUACCAAUAUUUUUUAUCCUGUGACCUUGACCUUGGAGUAUGACCUACUUUUUGAAAACUUUAACCUUGCUAAUAACUUUUGAACAAUAAGUGUUAGUAGAGCUGUGAUAUUUCACAUGAGUGUUCCUUGUAACAAGACCUUUCCGUUGGUAUUAAACCUUUUGACCUUGACAUUUAACUUACUUUUAAUUUUUUUUAAAAUUGGUCAUAACUUGUAAAUGGUAAAUAUUAGAGCUUUCAUAUUAUACAUGAGCAUUUCUUUUGACAAGAUCUUUCUACUGGUACCAAGAUAUUUGCCCUUGUGACCUUGGCCAUCUGUGGAAUUGGCCAUUAUCGGGGGCAUUUGUUUUUCACAAACACAUCUUGUUUAACGCCCAUUUUUGGUCCAAAUUUCGACCGUUUCCCCUCUUAAAAAAUGCCAAUUUUUUCCAAUAAUAAAAUUAUGAAAGGAAAACGUAUUUGAAAAAAAUAAACAUUCGAUGUGAAUUAUAUACAUAAGACUUAACAAAGAGUUAUGGGAAUGAUGAUUUGGAUAGAAUAGUUGAAAAUUUUAGAAGGUUAAAGAAAAUUAAAUGUGUAAAAUGUUUGAUAUGAUUUUAAAACUUAUUUACGAUAAAAUUGAUUUUUCCCAAUUUGACUGAAAUGUCGACAAUUUUUCCAAAUUCAAAAGCCACAGGACCCUUGUAAAAAAUGUAGAAAAGUCACUGGUUCAUAAUUGCAUCUUCCUCUUCAACUUAUCCUCUAUCCUUGAAAACAAUUCUGCAACUACUGUCCUCUAUAUUCUUUUAGGAAUUGGUACAUGUAGAUGUUCCUGACCCCCCCACCCCCAUUGGCCCACACUUUAAUCAUUAAAUAUCACAGAGAAUGAUGAAAUUAUGAAACUCAUGUAUAAAGAUUUUCCAUCAACGGUCAUCAGCGCUCUGAAUUCAAAGCAGCAAAGGCGAAACUUGAUGUCCAAGUGUAAGUUUUAUAAAAAUUAAGAACAUUCUUUGUUUUAUAAGGAAUAAAUAUGAGUGAUUUUACCUUCACUCUGUGCUCAGUUACAGUGUGGUGUUCAGCAGGGGAGCUGCUUAGGUCCAUGGUUGUACCUUACGUGUGCGGGUGCAUUGUUCGACGUUAUUCCUCCGACAAUGUCAGUCUAUGGAUUCGCGAAUGAUCAUACUGCAAAUAAACGGUUUAACCCUACCUCCAUUCACAACGAAACCAAAGCCAUCCGAGAACUUGAAAAAUGUGCUGAAAUCAUUAACGAUUGGAUGAAUGCAAAUAAACUGAAAAUGAACACAUCAAAGACCAAAUUCAUUUUAUUUGGCAGCAGGAGGUAACUGGAUAAAUGUAGCACAAAAGUUAUUAACAUUAAUAGUGAUGAAAUUGAACCAGAACAUUAUAUAAGAUACUUAGGUGCAUAUUUGGAUGAAACUUUCAAUUAUAAGGAACAUAUAAAAAGGAAAUGCCGAACAGCUAUGAUCAAUUAUCUUGGGAUUAAAAGUAUUUGCAAAUAUUUGACAAAGGAAGCUACAGAAAUUUUGGUUUUAUCUUUAGUAAUUUCUCAUUUGGACUAUUGUAAAGUGAUUUUAUAUCGCAUAGCACAGACUAAAUCCAAAACAUGGGUGCGAAACUGGUAUUAAAUCGAAACUUGUAAAUCAUAAGAAAUUUUACACUAGCUCUAGGGAUGCUCUCAUUGGCCUACACUGGUUACCUAUCGAUUCUAGGAUAUCAUUUAAAUCACUGACCUUCAUGUAUAAUUGUCAUGUGGUCGAAGCGCCAUUGUAUUUAACAGAACUUUUAACGAAACAGGUAACAAAUAAAAAGUUGCGCUCCGCUCAAUCUUCUGAGAGUUGCUACAUUGUUCCUUUUAAAAAGUGUAAAACUUUCAGUGAUAGAAGUUUCGGAACCAUUGGUCUGAUACUGUGGAACAGUUUACCGGCUGAAAUAAGACAGUCCAAAUCUUUACAUACUUUCAAAGCCAAAUUGAAAACACAUUUGUUUAGACAGUUUUAAUGUACAUGUUUUUAGUUUAGUAUAUGUAGAGUGUGUUUGCAUGUAUAUGAUGUAUUGUUUAUUCUUUUAAAGCUUUUUAGGUCACCUGAGUUUCCUAUUGCAAUUGGUUUUCGUCCAUCGUCGUGCGUUAACAAUUGAACAUUUUUAACUUCUUCUUGAUAACUACCAUUCCAAUUCUUUUCAAAUUCAGUAUGAAGCAUCAUUGGGACAAGGGGGACAUAAAUUGUAAAUUUCAGGACUCCAGCACCCCUGGGGCCUUAGGGGCUGGGCAAAAACUGCCCAAAAUUGACCAGUUUUCAAAAAUCUUCUUCUCAAGAACCACACACGUGUAAGAAAAACUAAAUGCAUGGUGAUGUAGAGCAGGAAGGUCUCUACCGAAGUUGUAAAUUUCAUGAUCCCUGGGGUAGGGGUUCUGACCCCAGCGCGGGGCCAAACUUGGUAUAUAGUGUUUAUGUGUAAAACACUUAAAUAUCUUCUUUAGUGCUAUUGAUACUAAAUUGAAAGUAAAUAGAUAUUUAGAAAGAACAGGUAGUCCUUUACCAAAAUUGUAAAUUUGAUGAUCCCAGGGGUAGGGGUUUUGGUAUCGGGGUGGGUCCAAAAUGGUCAGUUAUCCAAUGUGUGAACAAUAGACAUUUUUAGGUCACCUGAGUAAACUCAGGUGAGCUAUUGCAAUUGGUUUUCGUCCGUCGUCAUGGGACGUGCGUCGUGCAUUAACAAUUGAACAUUUGUAACUUCUUCUUAAUAACUACCAGUCCGAUUCUUUUCAAAUUUAGUAUGAAGCAUCAUUGGGACAAGGGGGACAUAAAUUAUAAAUUUCAGGACUCUAGCACCCCUGGGGCCCUAGGGGCAGGGCAAAAACUGCCCAAAAUUGACCAAUUUUCAAAAAUCUUCUUCUGUAGAACCACACACAUGUAAGAAAAACUAAAUGCAUAGUAAUGUAGAGCAGGAAGGCCUCUACCAAAAUUGUAAAUUUCAUGUUCCUGGGGUAGGGGUUCUGACCCCAGGGCGGGACCAAACUUGUUAUAUAGUGUUUAUGUGUAAAACACUUAAAUAACAUCUUCUUUAGUGCUAUUGAUACUAAAUUGAAAGUAAAUGGAUAGCCCAUGGAAGUAGUGAUAGUUUUUUACUAGUAUUCAGGUGAUCGAUAAGGCCUGUGGGCCUCUUGUUAACUUCUUGAUAACUAUCAUUCCAAUUCUUUUCAAAUCUGGUAUGAAACAUAUUGGAACAAGGGGAACAUAAAUUAUAAAUUUCAGGAUUCCUGCACCCCUGGGACCUUAGGGGCGGGGCAAAAACUGCCCAAAAUUGAUCAGUUUUCAGAAAUUUUCUUCUCUAGAACUGCACAUGUGUAAGAAAAACUAAAUGCAUAGUGAUGUAGAGCAGGAAGUCCUUUACCAAAAUUGUAAAUUUCAUGAUCCCCGGGGUAGGAGUUCUGACCCCAGCGCGGGGCCAAACUUGUCACAUAGUGUUAAUGUGUAAAACACUUAAAUAACAUCUUUUGUUCUAUUGAUACUAAAUUGAAAGUAAAUAGAUAUUUAGAAAGAACAGGUAAUCCUUUACCAAAAUUGUAAAUUUGAUGGUCCCAGGGGUAGGCGUUUUGGUAUCGGGGUGGGUCCAAAAUGGUCAGUUAUCAAAUAUGUGAACAAUAGACAUUUUUAACUUUUUCUUGAUAACUAUAAUUCCAAUUCUUUUCACAUCUGAUAUGAAACAUAUUUGGAACAAGGGGGACGUAAAUUGUAAAUUUCAGGAUUCCUGCACCCCUGAGGCCUUAGGGGUGGGGCAAAAACUGCCCAAAAUUGACCAAUUUUCUGAUCAAAAUUUGUCCGUUGUCUGUUGGCGGCGGCGGCAGCUCAUAAACUUUUCCCAUUUUUUACUUCUUCUCAAGAACUGCUGGGCCAAUUUCAACCAAACUUGCCACAAAGCAUCCUGGGUCCAAAAUGGUCAGUUAUCAAAUGUGUGAACAAUAGACAUUUUUAACUUUUUCUUGAUAACUAAAAUUCUAAUUCUUUUCACAUCUGGUAUGAAACAUAUUUGGAACAAGGGGGACGUAAAUUGUAAAUUUCAGGAUUCCUGCACCCCUGGGGCCUUAGAGGUGGGGCAAGAACUGCCCAAAAUUGACCAAUUUUCUGAUCAAAAUUUGUCCGUUGUCUGUCGGCGGCGGCAUCAUAAACUUUUCCCAUUUUUUUUCUUCUUCUCAAGAACUGCUGGGCCAAUUUCAACCAAACUUGCCACAAAACAUCCUUGGGUGAAAGGCUUUCAAGUUUGUUCAAAUGAAGGGCCAUGUCCCUUUCAAAGGGGAGAUAAUCACAAAAAUGCAAAAAAAGGGUGGGGUCAUUUAAAAAUCUUCUGAAGAACCAUUGGCCCAAAAAAGCUACAUGAAAGCUUCCUGACAUAGUGCAGAUUCAAGUUUGUUCAAAUCAUGGCCCCCAGAAGUUGGAUGGAGCCACAAUAGGGGAUCAAAGUUUUACAUACUAAUAUAUAGGAAAAGUCUUUAAAAAUCUUCUUCUCAAGAACCACUGAGCCAGAAAAGCUGAUAUUUACAUGAAAGCUUUCUGACAUAUUUCAGAUUUCAGUUUGUUCAAAUCAUGGCCCCCAAGGGUAGGAUGGGGUCACAAGGGGAGGGGGGAUCAAAGUUUUGCAUACAAAUAUAUGGGGGAAAUCUUUAAAUAUGAGCCAAGGUGACACAGGUGAGCGAUGUGGCCCUUGGGCCUCUUGUUUAUCAUUCCAGGAUAAAUCACAAAAAAUCAUAUAAAAUAAUAGAGAUCUUGUAUCAAUAAUCACUAUUUUGAUGGUGAAAUCAUACUUCAUGAGGUGUUUUAACAAGCCAUUAAAUAAAAAUUUAGGGGAAUGAGCUAUCUUAAAAGAUUUUUAAGCUAAGGCCAAUUCAACUUGAUUGAUAGAUUAUCAUCCCUGCCCGCCCCUAAAAAAUCAGCCUGCCCCAAAUUUUUUUAUUUUGCAAAACUUGCGAUUUCUAGAAAAUUUUCAUGUUCGACUCCGGUAUUUACAUUUCUUGUUUACAUUUCCAGUAUAGCAACGUGAAAAGCCAUGUGAACGGUGAAGAAAAUAGGUAUCCCAUCAUAUGGUUUUCUUAAUUUCUCGUCUUCUUACGUGCGUAAAUGAAAGGAAGGGAUUAAAUGUUCUUCAUAUAUUGGAGAAAUUUGAUAUCUUUUUGUGUUUGAAAUUAAAGCUUAAAGCUGUAUGGUCCGAAUUACAAUAUUUUUUUCCAUCUCGUAAAAACGCUAUUAAAUCAUUGCACGUAUGUAGUUAUGAGACUGUACGUCAUAUCAUAGAUUAUUUCACCUGUUUUAACCCAAAUAAUUUGAUUUUAAAUCGAUGUUUACAAAUAACUGCGUCAGACUGCCAGUUCAAGUGACAGUCACGUGACCAGUUCAAACUUUCAGAUCAUCGGUGGUCUUAUCUGUGUAAAGCUGUAUAUUUUGUUAUAACAGUACCGUACCAUAAGUUUAAUAGAAAUAAAAAUAUCAAAUACCUCUUAGUAAUUCGUUGUUUUAUGCUCUUUCGGCCUUAAAACUAGACAGUUGCGUACGAGUUAAUACAUCAUGUUGGGAUUCCCCUGACGCGCGUGGGUCUAUUUAUAGACGUCUGUUAUGGGAUGAUUUAUAUAUGUAGCCACUAUAUUUACUUUCUAAAUAAUAUUCGCACUGUUUUUUUUUACAUGCAGAUGUUUUCAAGCAUGUAAUUAAGGGAAAGUUAAAAACUUUAUAAAGUAAUUAAUCUGCUUUAAAGUAAUUAUGUACAAAAAUAAUACAUGAACAUCGGGUCAUACAGCUUUAACCUGGAAUUCGUCAGUGAAAUAAGCGUAGAUUGAUAUCCAUCUGGCAUUAAAUGAUGCACUUCUGUUGACAAAAACUUGUUUGUCAUUAAUAUUUUUAUCAGAAAAUAAAAAUAAAAAAAUAAAA